rnacentral:rRNA from 1 species
UACGUAGGGACCGAGCGUUGUCCGGAAUCAUUGGGCGUAAAGAGCGUGUAGGCGGCCACUUAAGUCCUGCGUGAAAUCUUGCGGCUCAACCGCAAGCGGUCGUGGGAAACUGGGUGGCUAGAGUGCGGGAGAGGAGAGUGGAAUUCCUGGUGUAGCGGUGGAAUGCGCAGAUAUCAGGAAGAACACCCGUGGCGGAAGGCGGCUCUCUGGAACGCAACUGACACUGAGGCACGGAAAGCGUGGGGAGCAAACAGG